AGGUACUUAAUCUAAUCAAGACAAUUGAUUUCGACUCAAUUAAUCAUGGUUCCAACCCAUGGGUACCUU
rnacentral:tRNA from 1 species